rnacentral:lncRNA from 1 species
AAUAUAAAAAGAAUAUUAUAAUUAAUAACAUGGUAAAAAAAAUAUAUCAAUGAAUUCAUACACAUAUAUGUAAGGCACGUUUGCAAUAAACACCUUAAUAAUUUCAUAAUUAUUUACGUAUACAGUGAAAAUGUGAAAGAAUUUAUACAUAUUCAAACAACAAUUGAUUCAUUUUACACUACUCUAGUUCUUUAGUUGGUUAUCCCGUACCGUGACCUCUUCUUACACAAUAUAACCAAACAAUCAAUCUCAUGUAAAAAAGAAAAUAAAACAAGUGAGAUCCACACAAAUCUGUAUGGAAAUGGUUCAAAAUAUCAUUUUUUAAUUAAACAAAUAUCCUGUUUAUAACAUCAUAGUAUCAGUUUUUUUACUGACAGGAAAGCGUCAAUUGCAUAAUUUACUCAUAUGAUAUAGAUGAUUCGAACAUGAGUAUUAUUGAUAUUUCAAUCAUAUUGACCGUUCUAAUUCGAUAUAUCAGUCAUCUUAAAAACCCAAGCAUCAGUGCUUGGUAUCUUCGAAAAAGAUAUAUUUGGCAAUGUUAUAUUAACACCAGACGGUUGCACUUUUGAAUAACUAAAGUUAUAAUCUUGAUACCCUAACAUUGUUAUCAAUGUGCUGCUACUAGUGAUAGGUGCAUUCAAAUACAAAUAAUUUGUAUCUGGCCAAUCCAAUAUGAUUGCAUAAACAUUUGUUGCUGUUUUCGUCUUUUUCAUUGUAUACCAACAUGUCCUAGUGGCAUUGUCGUGUUGAACUGUCCACGGUUUUGAACUAUAGAUAGCUUCGCCAUUUAUUCUCAUCCAUUUUCCAAACUGUAGAAGUCUUUCUUCAUAAACUGGUUGUAUAGUUCCAUAACUAGUUGGUCCAACGUUCAUAAGCAUAUUACCUCCACAGCUUACAGUUUGUGCGAAUGUUGCAAUUAGUUCUCGUGCUGAAAAAAAGUCCUCUAUCCGUGCAUCUCGUCGGAAGCCCCAAUGGUUUUUGUCUAUUGUCAUUGCAUUUUCGAACUUUCUUUUCUGAAGAGUUGUAGGAAGGUAUUUAUCACUGCACGUGAAGUAUCCACCAUGAUGACAUAUGUCGCCUUUGCCCCAGCGGUCAUUAGUGACAACCGUGUCCUUUACUGGGCUGUCAUUAUACAGCCAAGCUAAAAAUUCCUUUGACGUCCAAUAUGUGUCCGGUGCUUCCCAUGCUCCGUCCGACCAAACUACUUCGGGUUUAUAUCUAUUCACGAGCUCAUAUAAUUCAGGCAUCGAUUUAGAUUUCACAAAAUCUUGUGUUGUUAAAUUGUUUGCUUUGUCUCUAAGAUAUAAUGGGUUGUACCAUUCAAACAGAGAAUGAUACAGUCCAAAUCGCAGAUUUGUUGUAUUGCGAAUAGCAUCAGCAAG